AUUGCUUUCGGAGUCAUUGACAGAGAUAGAGCGUUUGGAAUAGUUGGAUCUAAAUUCGAACAACUUCUAUGGUACAAUUUCGAAGUGACUGUGUCAAGAUCUUAGGAAUCGUUGAAGGAACUGUUCCUACAGAAUAAUCACUUUACAGGAACUGGGUAACAUAAAGACGCUGCAGUUUGA